rnacentral:rRNA from 1 species
GGGUUUUUCUGAUUUCGUAUGUGACCUGCGGAGGAUCAUUAUUGAAU